rnacentral:lncRNA from 1 species
UUUUUCUUUAAACUGUUGGGGGUAUUUUGUCAUAUAGAAUAUUUUUUAAAGGACUUAAAAUGCUGUAUUAUUCCAGGUUGCCAUAUGCUGGGUACCCCCUCAUCAAAUUAUGCCUCAUCAAAGCAAGAAUUGCCUUAUUUUCUUUCUUCCUCAGGAAAGCCAAUUAUUCUUAGGUAUAGUCCCAGACUUCUUGGAGUCUUUGUUCAUUUUUUAAAAUUGUUUUUUCUUUGUUUUUGUUGGAUUGGGUUAAUUUGAAAACCUUGUCUUCAAGCUCUGAAGUUCUUUCUUCUGCUUGUUCGAUUCCAUUGCUGAGACUUUCUAGUAUAUUUUGCACUUCUCUAAGUGUGCCCUUUAUUUCCUGAAGGUGUGAUUUUUUUAUUUAUGCUAUCUAUUUCACUGAAGAUUUCUCCCCUCAUAUCUUGUAUCAUUUUUUUUGUUUGUUUGUUUCCU